rnacentral:tRNA from 1 species
GGUGGCUCAGUGGUGGAGUACUUGCCUUGCAUGCAUGAUGCCCUGGGUUCGAUUCCCCAGCACCA